rnacentral:rRNA from 1 species
AGAGUUUGAUCCUGGCUCAGAGCGAACGCUGGCGGCAGGCCUAACACAUGCAAGUCGAGCGCCCCGCAAGGGGAGCGGCAGACGGGAGAGUAACACGUGGGAACGUGCCCUUUGGUUCGGAACAACACAGGGAAACUUGUGCUAAUACCGGAUAAGUCCGUAAGGAGAAAGAUUUAUCGCCAAAGGAUCGGCCCGCGUCUGAUUAGCUUGUUGGUGAGGUAACGGCUCACCAAGGCGACGAUCAGUAGCUGGUCUGAGAGGAUGAUCAGCCUCACUGGGACUGAGACACGGCCCAGACUCCUACGGGAGGCAGCAGUGGGGAAUAUUGGACAAUGGGCGCAAGCCUGAUCCAGCCAUGCCGCGUGGAUGAUGAAGGCCCUAGGGUUGUAAA